AGGACGAACGCUGGCGGCGUGCUUAACACAUGCAAGUCGAACGGUAAGGCCCCUUCGGGGGUACACGAGUGGCGAACGGGUGAGUAACACGUGGGUAAUCUGCCCUGCACUUCGGGAUAAGCCUGGGAAACUGGGUCUAAUACCGGAUAUGAACUCCUGCCGCAUGGUGGGGGUUGGAAAGUUUUUCGGUGCAGGAUGAGCCCGCGGCCUAUCAGCUUGUUGGUGGGGUAAUGGCCUACCAAGGCGACGACGGGUAGCCGGCCUGAGAGGGUGAUCGGCCACACAGGGACUGAGACACGGCCCAGACUCCUACGGGAGGCAGCAGUGGGGAAUAUUGCACAACUGGGCGAAAGCCUGAUGCAGCGACGCCG
rnacentral:rRNA from 1 species